GUAAGCUACAGAAGCAGAAGGGAGCAUGAAGUUACUUCUAGCUGGAUCUCCAUGGAUUGCAGCCCACCAGGCUCCUCUGUCCAUGGAGUUUUCCAGAUUACAUUACCUAAUAGGUUUCGAACUGUGGUGUUGGAGAAGACUCUUGAGACUCCCUUGGACUGCAAGGAGAUCCAACCAGUCCAUCCUAAAGGAAAUCAGUCCUGAAUAUUCAUUGGAAGGACUUAUGUUGAAGCUGAAACUCCAAAAGUUUGGCCACCUCGUGUGAAGAGCUGACUCAUUUGAAAAGACCCUGAUGCUGGGAAAGAUUGAGGGCAGGAGGAGAAGGGGACGACAGAGGAUGAGAUGGUUGGAUGGCAUCAUCGACUCGAUGGACAUGGGUUUGGGUGAACUCCGGGAGUUGGUGAUGGACAGGGAGGCCUGGCUUGCUGUGUUUCAUGGGGUUGCAAAGAGUCGGACACGACUGAGCGACUGAACUGAACUGAUGAUAACUUUUCCUGUGCAGAUUUUUAAAAAAUAUGUGAUUGCGUUUCUCAAGCUUUUCUUUAGUUUCUU